CAAAAGGCUCUUUUCAGAGCCACCACUCCCACUUAAAGAGCUGUG
rfam:Cricetulus griseus cell line CHO-K1, whole genome shotgun sequence.